rnacentral:lncRNA from 12 species
GUUCCCAUGGCCGAACCUCAGAGAAUGGGAGAUGUUCUCUUUGCUCCUUCCUGGAAAAAGGUCAGGGACAGCGUGGCUCCAUCUUGGUGGCCCCAGCACCUUGCGUGGCCCGUGGAAUGGGCUCCCGAAAUCUGCGCGGACCAGACGGCUCCUUCACUGCCCCGCUCCACCCCCAGCUCUCCUCAUCCCUCCGAGACUCACGGGGCCAAAUCAACGCUCUUUAUUUGGGCCUAUGCCCCGCUUUCUCCGUCUUUCUCGUCCACACCUGGGCCGAGUUUGGGAAUUCUGGACAACCACUUACAGGCCACCUGGAGCCCUUGCAAAGACUUCCUCCGGAAUCAUAAUACCCCAAGGCCAUUUAAACGUCGCCUGAAACCAAGCCAGUGCCCCGCUCCUGUCCCUCGCUCACCUCCCGACGAUGUUUAAUUUUUCUCUAAAUGAACUUGCACGGUGUCACACCGCAGUCCUGCACCUUGGAACAUCCCUACCCCGAUCUGUGAGCAGCUGACAUGCGGCGCGAUGGCACCACUUCCUCUGAGGACAUUUUCCCGUAAUGUAGCUGAUUAAAAUACAGCUGACUGCGGGAGAGGCCGCGGCGCUCCAGCCAGCCGGGGUGAGCCAGCGAAACGCAGAGAUAAUGAAUAAUGGUUUGUGGCAAAACUGAUAAUGCACCCGCUAUUAUAUCGACCGGGGCUGCGGCUUCAGUUAAUCGCGCUAAAUUGCUGGGCUGGAGCUGUGUUCUGCUGGAGGCCUGGCUGCUGCCCUUUCUCCUUUGAAAAUGUCCAUUUGUCUGGAGUUGGGUUCUUAUUCCUUCCUCCUGUCACUCCAUUCAAAUGAGCUGGCUAUUUUUGCCGGUGGCCGCCGUGGGAGUGCGAGUUUGGAACGCGGCGGAGCUGUGCGUGCCAUCUGCUGGCGCGUGUGCCCACCUCCCGUGGGGGUGCGCGCCACGUGCGCUGGGUGCCCCGCAGAUGAACCAGGAGCUUGUGGUCCAGGGGAGGAGUCGGACCCCCACCCAGAGCACUGGUGCCGCCUACUGAGGGCUUCGGCUCUGUGGCCGGUCUAGGGGUGGGUUCGAAUCUGGGCUCCUCCACUUUGUAGCCACGAGGACUUGGACCCCAGCCCCUUGACUAUAAGGUGGCGAUGCUCCUGUAACCAUGUUCGAGUGUCGUGGCAUUAAAUGGGCCAUGAAAGGGGACUGCAUAGCACUGUGCUGGGUACAAAGUGAGCUCCGGCUACGUGGGCCUCAUGGCAGGGAGGCCUGUGCAAGGAUCACAGGGUGCAGAGGGAGCAAUGACUACUUCCUUGAAGGUCCCGGUGGCUUCAUGGAGGAGGUGAUCAGGAGCUAAGUUUUGUAGGGGAGAGUAGGGCUAUGGGGGCCAGGUCCUCAGGCACUGCUGGGGGCUACCCUGACCCAUCUCCUCCAUCA